rnacentral:rRNA from 1 species
UAGGGAAUCUUCGGCAAUGGACGAAAGUCUGACCGAGCAACGCCGCGUGAGUGAAGAAGGUUUUCGGAUCGUAAAACUCUGUUGUUAGAGAAGAACAAGGACGUUAGUAACUGAACGUCCCCUGACGGUAUCUAACCAGAAAGCCACGGCUAACUACGUGCCAGCAGCCGCGGUAAUACGUAGGUGGCAAGCGUUGUCCGGAUUUAUUGGGCGUAAAGCGAGCGCAGGCGGUUUCUUAAGUCUGAUGUGAAAGCCCCCGGCUCAACCGGGGAGGGUCAUUGGAAACUGGGAGACUUGAGUGCAGAAGAGGAGAGUGGAAUUCCAUGUGUAGCGGUGAAAUGCGUAGAGAUGUGGAGGAAUACCGGUGGCGAAGGCGGCCCCCUGGACGAAGACUGACGCUCAGGUGCGAAAGCGUGGGGAGCAAACAGG